rnacentral:rRNA from 1 species
GACGAACGCUGGCGGCGUGCUUAACACAUGCAAGUCGAGCGAAGUGGCGAACGGGUGAGUAACGCGUAGUCAACCUGCCCUUGAGAGGGGGUCAACAGUGGGAAACGACUCCUAUUACCGGAUACUGCAGGGGGGGAGUGUGGCGGAUUAGCUAGGUGGAGGGGUGACGGCCCAACAAGGCGGUGAACAGUAGCCGGGCUGGGAGGAAGAACGGCCACAUUGGGACUGGGACACGGCACAGACGGCUACGGGAAGCAGCAGUGGGGAAUCGUCCGCAAUGGGCGGAAGUCUGGCGGAACAACGCCGCGGGAGUGAUGACGGCCGUCGGGUUGGGAAGGUCUGUUAAUCGGGACGCGGUACCGGAAGAAGAAGCAACGGCUAACUACGUGCCAGCAGCCGCGGUAAUUC